UUAUAUAGUUAUAUAUCAUCAUCCUCCAGUAAAAAAGGUCGUCGUCAUUGAAGUUAGCCCAUAAUUGGUUAAGUUCUAGUUAGUGUUGCAGUGGAACUAGUAUUAUUUGUUUGUAAUUGGCGCAGAUCUCUGUAGAAGGUUAGCUACUUGAACCUGUUCCUCCAGUCGUACAGUCUUGUGGUAGCAAUUUGUAAUCCUGCUAAAAACUGUCAACAUGUCUUUUAGCAUGGACUCUUCAUCUAAGAGUACCGUGUUUUUCUGAACUAGCUUCCAUUAUCUGGUUUUGUACUAGCGGCAAUGAUUAACUGAUAAAAUGCACAACUAUAAAUUGGGCAAUACAUCGUUUUGAGACCUGAAGUGCCAUCAUAAUGUCCAGUUGACCAUUUUCUUCGCAGCAGUCCCACUGUCAAGACAUGCAUGCCAAUCCAGAUGAUAACUCGUUAUUCAUAUUUCACUUUUGAAAAGGACAUGCUUUAGUUUUCUAUAUCUCUUUUUCUUUAUGGCGCAUUCUUUUACAUGUGCCUAAUCUCUUGUGUCUAUCCUCAGGUUUCUAACAAUGAAGUAGUAGCUGAUGCGUGUAAAAGCUACGAUUGUGGAAGCGUAUGCAAUCCUGCAAGGACGCGUGCAUGUUAUAUAGCUCAACAAGUUU
rnacentral:lncRNA from 1 species